rnacentral:rRNA from 1 species
AGCGAACGCUGGCGGCAGGCCUAAUACAUGCAAGUCGAGCGCCCCGCAAGGGGAGCGGCAGACGGGUGAGUAACGCGUGGGAAUCUACCCAUCCCUACGGAACAACUCCGGGAAACUGGAGCUAAUACCGUAUACGCCCUUCGGGGGAAAGAUUUAUCGGGGAUGGAUGAGCCCGCGUUGGAUUAGCUAGUUGGUGGGGUAAUGGCCUACCAAGGCGACGAUCCAUAGCUGGUCUGAGAGGAUGAUCAGCCACACUGGGACUGAGACACGGCCCAGACUCCUACGGGAGGCAGCAGUGGGGAAUAUUGGACAAUGGGCGAAAGCCUGAUCCAGCCAUGCCGCGUGAGUGAUGAAGGCCCUAGGGUUGUAAAGCUCUUUCACCGGUGAAGAUAAUGACGGUAACCGGAGAAGAAGCCCCGGCUAACUUCGUGCCAGCAGCCGCAGUAACAC